rnacentral:lncRNA from 10 species
CAAGUUCAUCAGCUGAAACGAAAACUCCCACUGUCCAGGCUAAGAGACCAGGAUGGAAGCCAGCUGACAUGCAAGCCUGGGAACUGCAGCCUGCAGAGAUCAACAACCCCACGGAGUCACAGAGCAGAGCAGGUGAAGGAAGAAGAAUGGGUUUGAGGCAAACAGGGCCAGGAUCGGCAGGCCUUGUCCUCCAGGAAGCCUUUCCCACCCCACCUCAGGCUGGAAUAGGGGCCUUCGUAGGCUGAAUGAUGGCCUCCCAAAAAUGUUCACUUCUUAAUCCCUCAACCCUCUGAAUAUUACCUUAUAUGACAAAAGAUGUGACUAAGACGUGUUAAGGAUCUUGAAAAGAGAGACUGAAGCUGGGUUUUCUGGAUGGGCUUCAUAGACAGACACACAGAAGAAAAGGCAAUGUGAAGACAAGACAGAGGCCGGAUGGAGGUGAUGCCACCACAAGCCAAGGAAUGCUGGCAGCUGCUAGAAGCUGGAGGAGACGGGGAACAAAUUCUCUGCUAGAGCCUCCAGAGGAAAGACAGCCCUGUUCACAUCUUGAUUUCAGAAGUCUGGCCUCCAGAACUGCGAAAGAAUACGUGACUGUUAUCUUAAGCUACAAGUCUGUGUAUUGUGCUCCUCCAUCGUAUUCCCAAAACAGCAUCCCUGGCUUCUGUCCCGUGCCCAUUGUCCUUUCAUGCUGAAGCAGCUUAUUGCAUUGUCUUAUCUGUCCUACCAGGCUGACCUCCUUGAG